AUUGAACGCUGGCGGCAGGGUUAACACAUGCAAGUCGAGCGGGGAAGGGUAGCUUGCUACCUGACCUAGCGGCGGACGGGUGAGUAAUGCUUAGGAAUCUGCCUAUUAGUGGGGGACAACAUUCCGAAAGGAAUGCUAAUACCGCAUACGCCCUACGGGGAAAAGCAGGGGAUCUUCGGACCUUGCGCUAAUAAAUGAGCCUAAGUCAGAUUAGCUAGUUGGUGGGGUAAAGGCCUACCAAGGCGACGAGCUGUAGCGGGUCUGAGAGGAUGAUCCGCCAGACUGGGACGGAGACACGGCCCAGACUCCAACGGGAGGCAGCAGUGGGGAAUAUUGGACAAUGGGCGCAAGCCUGAUCCAGCCAUGCCGCGUGUGUGAAGAAGGCCUUUUGGUUGUAAAGCACUUUAAGCGAGGAGGAGGCUACUUGGAUUAAUACUCUAGGAUAGUGGACGUUACUCGCAGAAUAAGCACCGGCUAACUCUGUGCCAGCCGCCGCCGUAAUAC
rnacentral:rRNA from 1 species